rnacentral:rRNA from 1 species
CGUAGCCACGGGAAUACGGAGGGGGCUAGCGUUGUUCGGAAUUACUGGGCGUAAAGCGCACGUAGGCGGCUUGGUAAGUUAGAGGUGAAAGCCUGGAGCUCAACUCCAGAAUUGCCUUUAAGACUGCCGAGCUAGCAGGUGAGAGAGGUAAGUGGAAUUCCGAGUGUAGAGGUGAAAUUCGUAGAUAUUCGGAAGAACACCAGUGGCGAAGGCGGCUUACUGGCUCAUACUGGACGCUGAGGUGCGAAAGCGUGGGGAGCAAACAGGAUUAGAUACCCCUGUAGUCCCUGUCUCUUAUACA